AGCUCCAAUAGCGUAUAUUAAAGUUGUUGCAGUUAAAAAGCUCGUAGUUGGAUUUCUGGCAGGAUGACUUUGCCCUCUGUAGAGUGCGCAAUGCUGUCCUACCAUCCUUCUGUUAACCCUGGAGGCCUUUAACAGCUUGUAGGGGGCUCAGAUAUUUUACCUUGAGAAAAUUAGAGUGUUUCAGGCAGGCUAGCGCCGGAAUACAUUAGCAUGGAAUAAUAGAAUAGGACUUAAGCCUCUUCUGUUGGUCUGAGGGGUGUAAGUAAUGAUUAAUAGGGAUAGUUGGGGGCAUUAGUACUUAACUGUCAGAGGUGAAAUUCUCGGAUUUGUUAAAGACUAACUUAUGCGAAAGCAUUUGCCAAGGAUGUUUUCAUUA
rnacentral:rRNA from 1 species